GUGCUUGCUGCAGCAGCACAUAUACUAAAAUUGGAACAACAGAGAGAAGAUUAGCAUGGCCCCUGUGCAAGGAUGACACGCAAAUUCAUGAAGCGUUCCAUAUUUUU